rnacentral:rRNA from 1 species
AACUCAACGAAACAUUCGCCGAAAAAAAGAGACCCCCUGCCCGGUGGCACAAUUUUUACGGCCCCGGUUCCCUAACCGUGCAAAUGUAGCAUAAUCACUUGUUCCUAAAUAGGGACCUGUAUGAAUGGAUCCACGAGGGUUCAGCUGUCUUUUACUUUUAACCAGUGAAAUUGACCUGCCCGUGAAGAGGCGGGCAUGACACAGCAAGACGAGAAGACCCUAUGGAGCUUUAAUUUAUUAAUGCAAACAGUACCUAACAAACCCACAGGUCCUAAACUACCAAACCUGCAUUAAAAAUUUCGGUUGGGGCGACCUCGGAGCAGAACCCAACCUCCGAGCAGUACAUGCUAAGACUUCACCAGUCAAAGCGAACUACUAUACUCAAUUGAUCCAAUAACUUGACCAACGGAACAAGUUACCCUAGGGAUAACAGCGCAAUCCUAUUCUAGAGUCCAUAUCAACAAUAGGGUUUACGACCUCGAUGUUGGAUCAGGACAUACCCGAAGGUGCAUGCUGAGUAUAGACACGUCG